UACGAAGGGGGCUAGCGUUGCUCGGAAUGACUGGGCGUAAAGGGCGCGUAGGCGGAUAUCUUUGUCGGGCGUGAAAUUCCAGGGCUUAACCUUGGGUCUGCGUUCGAGACGGGGUAUCUUGAGUGCGGUAGGGGAGAUUGGAAUUCCUGGUGUAGCGGUGGAAUGCGCAGAUAUCAGGAGGAACACCGAUGGCGAAGGCAGAUCUCUGGGCCGAUACUGACGCUGAGGCACGAAAGCGUGGGGAGCAAACAGG
rnacentral:rRNA from 1 species